GACGUAGGGCGCGAGCGUUGUCCGGAUUUAUUGGGCGUAAAGAGCUCGUAGGCGGCUUGUUGCGUCAGCUGUGAAAACCCGCAGCUCAACUGUGGGCUUGCAGCUGAUACGGGCAGACUGGAGGUAUGCAGGGGAGAACGGAAUUCCUGGUGUAGCGGUGAAAUGCGCAGAUAUCGGGAAGAACACCCGUGGCGAAGGCGGCUCUCUGGGACGGUACUGACGCUGAGACGCGAAAGCGUGGGGAGCGAACAGG
rnacentral:rRNA from 1 species